rnacentral:rRNA from 1 species
UAGAGUUUGAUCCUGGCUCAGGAUGACGCUAGCGACAGGCUUACACAUGCAAGUCGAGGGGCAGCAUAAAAGUAGCAAUACUUUGGUGGCGACCGGCGCACGGGUGAGUAACGCGUAUGCAACCUACCUAUCAGAGGGGAAUAACCCGGCGAAAGUCGGACUAAUACCGCAUAAAACAGGGGCACCGCAUGGUGAUAUUUGUUAAAGAAAUUCGCUGAUAGAUGGGCAUGCGUUCCAUUAGGUAGUUGGUGAGGUAACGGCUCACCAAGCCGACGAUGGAUAGGGGAACUGAGAGGUUGGUCCCCCACACUGGUACUGAGACACGGACCAGACUCCUACGGGAGGCAGCAGUGAGGAAUAUUGGUCAAUGGGCGGGAGCCUGAACCAGCCAAGUCGCGUGAAGGAAGAAGGAUCUAUGGUUCGUAAACUUCUUUUGCAGGGGAUAAAGUGCAGACGUGUCCUGUUUUGUAUGUACCCUGAGAAUAUGAUCGGCUACUCCGUGCCAGCAGCGCG